GAUGAACGCUGGCGGCGUGCCUAAUACAUGCAAGUCGAGCGAACGGACGAGAAGCUUGCUUCUCUGAUGUUAGCGGCGGACGGGUGAGUAACACGUGGAUAACCUACCUAUAAGACUGGGAUAACUUCGGGAAACCGGAGCUAAUACCAGAUAAUAUUUUGAACUGCAUGGUUCAAAAGUGAAAGACGGUCUUGCUGUCACUUAUAGAUGGAUCCGCGCUGCAUUAGCUAGUUGGUAAGGUAACGGCUUACCAAGGCAACGAUGCAUAGCCGACCUGAGAGGGUGAUCGGCCACACUGGAACUGAGACACGGUCCAGACUCCUACGGGAGGCAGCAGUAGGGAAUCUUCCGCAAUGGGCGAAAGCCUGACGGAGCAACGCCGCGUGAGUGAUGAAGGUCUUCGGAUCGUAAAACUCUGUUAUUAGGGAAGAACAUAUGUGUAAGUAACUGUGCACAUCUUGACGGUACCUAAUCAGAAAGCCACGGCUAACUACGUGCCAGCAGCCGCGGUAAUACGUAGGUGGCAAGCGUUAUCCGGAAUUAUUGGGCGUAAAGCGCGCGUAGGCGGUUUUUUAAGUCUGAUGUGAAAGCCCACGGCUCAACCGUGGAGGGUCAUUGGAAACUGGAAAACUUGAGUGCAGAAGAGGAAAGUGGAAUUCCAUGUGUAGCGGUGAAAUGCGCAGAGAUAUGGAGGAACACCAGUGGCGAAGGCGACUUUCUGGUCUGUAACUGACGCUGAUGUGCGAAAGCGUGGGGAUCAAACAGGAUUAGAUACCCUGGUAGUCCACGCCGUAAACGAUGAGUGCUAAGUGUUAGGGGGUUUCCGCCCCUUAGUGCUGCAGCUAACGCAUUAAGCACUCCGCCUGGGGAGUACGACCGCAAGGUUGAAACUCAAAGGAAUUGACGGGGACCCGCACAAGCGGUGGAGCAUGUGGUUUAAUUCGAAGCAACGCGAAGAACCUUACCAAAUCUUGACAUCCUUUGACAACUCUAGAGAUAGAGCCUUCCCCUUCGGGGGACAAAGUGACAGGUGGUGCAUGGUUGUCGUCAGCUCGUGUCGUGAGAUGUUGGGUUAAGUCCCGCAACGAGCGCAACCCUUAAGCUUAGUUGCCAUCAUUAAGUUGGGCACUCUAAGUUGACUGCCGGUGACAAACCGGAGGAAGGUGGGGAUGACGUCAAAUCAUCAUGCCCCUUAUGAUUUGGGCUACACACGUGCUACAAUGGACAAUACAAAGGGCAGCGAAACCGCGAGGUCAAGCAAAUCCCAUAAAGUUGUUCUCAGUUCGGAUUGUAGUCUGCAACUCGACUACAUGAAGCUGGAAUCGCUAGUAAUCGUAGAUCAGCAUGCUACGGUGAAUACGUUCCCGGGUCU
rnacentral:rRNA from 1 species